rnacentral:lncRNA from 1 species
AUCAUUUAUUUUUAUUAUAUCAGGUUUAUGAUAGUUAUUUUUCAUGCAAUAUCCUAUACUAAUUAUUCUGCAUUAUACUUUAUAUGAGUUUAUGUUAUUUUAAGUGAUCUAUGCUAUUUAUGCACUUUUUUAUAUACUGAUAUACAGUGUACAUGUGUACUCGUAUAUUUAAUUCUUUUUUUAUGUUUAAUUCUUGUGUUGUAGUAAUUUAUGUAUCUGCCCUGAAGUUUCUGAAACCAUAUGUCAAUAAGGGAUGCUCUGACCCUCAGAGAUAGGUGUUAGAUAUAAUAUCAGUUUUUAGCUUUCAGACUAUAUUCACCAUACUUUCUGUACUCUUCCAGUUAACUGUCAUUCUUCACAUGUCCUUAGUCUCUCUUAUAGCUGUGAGAGCCUUUAUCAGUUCUCUGAGUCAACUAGACAUUCGCACCAAUCCCUUUGGUGAUCCAGCUCUUUCCCACCCAUUUUCUUAUACCUUCCAUGUUCCAGUUUAUCAACUUGACCGACCGUGGUACACAGCUGCUAUGAAGGCCUCCUGUUAGUUAAGUCCUGGAGACAUCAAUUCUUGGCCACAUGGAUUUCUUCCUGGGCAGCCUGGGGGUCCCCAGGCCAUGGCAGCACCUUUAGAGCGAUUAAUAUAAGAGAGAAAAUGCCAAAGACAGAAGCCAAAGGCUUUCAUUAGCUAAUCUUAGAAGUAACUUAAUGUUACUUCUUUUGUACUUUAUGGGUCACAGAGACCACUGUGCAAGGGACUUUCACAAGGGCAAGAACACAAGCAGAAAGGGAUCAUUGGAGGCCAUCUUAGUGGGUGCCCACAGUCUGAGGUCUGGCCCCCCAUGCACCUGGCUCACUUGUCAGAAUAUUCUCUAUGUAAUCUCUUUCUCUCGAAACUUAAGAGGCAGGAGCAUGGCUUACUACAAACUCCUGCCAGUGUGGGCUUCCAACAACCCUAUUUCUUACUCAGGUAUCUCCCCAUACACACGAUUCCUCUCUAAAUCAACCAAUAAAUCAUUCCAUUUAUUUUGGGCAUAGCUGUGUCGAGUGAUUCAUGCUGUGAAUCCACUGAGGUCUUAACUUCUACUCCAAGUAGACUUAGAACCUUUUUUUUUCACCACAGGUGACUAUCUUCUAAAGAGGGACUCUGUAUCUAGCUAUGAAAAUAGCUUGUUUCCGUCUCGUACAAUUGAUUCUUCUCAUUCCCAUGCUUAACAUAGUGCUCAUCAUAUGACAAAUAAGGGUUUGCUAGAAUAAAAUAAAUCAUUGUUUUUAAGAGAGUAAUAUAUAAUGAAGCAUACAUAUUUUUAAAAGAUUUUUCAUAAAUCUUGUCUAAGAAUAAUUCAGUGCAAAUUGAGUCUGCAUGAAAAAUUAUGAGAAGCUGGGAUAACUUUUAGCCAUAGCAUUGGUCACUGAUACAUUAGAAUGGAGUGGGGCAUAAACAACAUAGUGUAGCGGGAACUUUUAAUUCCUGAAAAAUCUCACGGAAUUUCCAUUCCUUUAUGUACAGAAUAGUUCUUUAGUUCAAUAACUCAUAAAAAUACAAAAAAUUAUAAAUGCCUUAAUAAUCAUUACAGGAAUUCCCUUGUGGUGUAGUGGGCUAAGGGUCUGGCAUGGUCACUGCAGUGCCUGGGUUACUACUGUGGCAUGGAUUCAGAUCCUGGCCUGGGAACUUCUACAUGCUACAAGUACGGAAAAAAAAAUAAGCUUUAUCAGUGUUAAGUACUGAUCACUUACAUAAAUAUUGUCAGUAAUGGUCACUGCCUCAGUAGUUUUUUUUUUUUUUUAUUUUGUUCAGUCUUUUAUUAUUAUAGUGUGUAGUUGAUGAGGUGCCAGCACAGUAUGCAGCAGAAUCUUACUUCCUCAUCUCUCAUUUUUAAAUACCGUCUUUGUUGUUUCAGUGUAUUUCUGAUUUUAUAAUUACCUGUGUUUUCAGGUUACAUGAACCAUGUGAAUAUCUCCCACAAGGCAGGAAUGAGAAGGCUGUUGCUCAGGUGUACUUCCCUGCAUACUAAAGCCAGCAUUACCAAAGUGUGCAGGAAUACAUCUCCAUUCCUCCCAGUGUCGUCGUGUUCCUUUCUACUUUUCCCCGCGUAACCUCUCCCUGACAUAAAUACUUCUAUUCAGUUAUAUGUUGGGUAUUCAAUGAUGAUAGAUACUGAGGAAUGAAGAAAAUGACUAACAUAUCACACCCUUCUUCAUAGAGAGUUGUAAACGAAUGGGAUGUGUUUAAUAUAUAAUGACAACCUUAGUAUUUGGGAGUCAGCCCUGAAUUUGGGAGCAGGAAAGCCUUCCUAGAGUCUUGGAAACAUGGCAUGUUUUUAGAGGUUGAAAAUAAUAGCUAAUAUUUAUUGAGCACUUCAUCAUACAGGCUUUAUGCUGAAUGUUUAAAUGUUGUAUCUUAUUUCAUCUUUCAAAGAUGCUCUGAAUUAAGUACCACUAUUGUCCCUAUUCUAGGGAAUAAACUUGAUGCAUAAGCAACUUAAGCUAGGCCAUCUAGCUCCCAAGGGACAGAACUUGGAGAUGGGCCCAGUUAUCUUUUGCCGCAGAGCUUUGACUCUUUAAACACUAUAAGAUACCAAAACCAGAUGACCAAAAUGAAAACACAGCAAUUGUUUUUCUUAGAGAUUUGCUUUAUUCUCACUCUUUUUUUCCCUCCCAAAUAGCACAGCAAGUCUUCUGUGACCCCCUCUAUAGCCCAACCUCCAAUAAACGCAAUUCUUGUUCUUGUUUUGUGCCACUUGACAUUACUAUCACCUCUAACUUCCUUUUUCUUGCAUUUGAUGCUAGCUUAUAGAGCUUUAAGGGAUCUAUUCUUUCCUUUCUUUUCUGAAUGUUCUGUGCUCUCACCACUUCUCUAAGCAGUGCUGACCUACUUUGUACUGUUCUUUGUAAAGGAAGGUCUGGGAGUCUUGUUUCCCAGACCACUUCAAUUUCCAUUUCCAGCUUUCUGCCUACCUAAAAGUCUGAUUUGGCUCCAAAGGGAUGAUGUAUCUGCUUUGUGUAGAUCCUUUUUUUUUUUUUUUCAGUUUUGUCUUCAGUAUAAUACUUUUUCUUGUUCAGAUGUAUUAUUACUUGCACUAUUUCUGUCAAUUCCAAAAAGAUUUACUGGAUGAGAUUUUAUUUAUCAUCACUUAAUAUUUUCUCUGUUUUUUUAUUCUUUAACUGUGUCCACCCAGAAGACAGAUCUUUGCAACCGAAACAAUAUAGUUCUGCAAAUAUUUCAGUGAUUGUGUUGUGCAUUUAAUUUGGUAAUAGCAGGUACCUAUUGAUACUGGGCCACAAAGAAACUUACAGCUAAGUAGGAAAUAUUUAUUUUCAACCAACUGUAGAGAAAAAUAUACUGUUAUCAGUACUGUAAAGAGAAGGUAAAUCUGGAGUUCCCACUGCAGUGUGUCGGGUUAAGGAUCUGGAAUUGUCUCUGUGGUGGCUCAGGUUCUAGCUCUGGCCUGGGAAUUUCCAUGUGCCGCAGGGGUG